rfam:Nematostella vectensis strain CH2 x CH6 NEMVEscaffold_3783_Cont46199, whole genome shotgun sequence.
GCCUCUGUAGCUCAGUGGUUAUAGCACUGGUCUAGUAAACCAGGAGUCGAGAGUUCGAGUCUGUGUAGAGGCU